rnacentral:rRNA from 1 species
CGGGUUAAGUCCCGCAACGAGUGCAACCCCUAUCUUAGUUACCAGCGAUUCGGUCGGGGACUCUAAAGAUACUGCCCCGGUUAACGGGGAGGAAGGUGGGGAAUGACGUCAAGUCCUCAUGGCCCUUAUGCCUAGGGCUACACACGUGCUACAAUGGACGGAACAAAGGGUCGCGAUACCGCGAGGAGGAGCUAAUCCCAAAAACCCGUCCCAAGUUCGGAUUGGAGUCUGCAACUCGACUCCAUGAAGUUGGAAUCGCUAGUAAUCGCGGAUCAGCAUGCCGCGGUGAAUACGUUCCCGGGCCUU